rnacentral:rRNA from 1 species
CCUACGGGUGGCAGCAGUGGGGAAUAUUGGGCAAUGGGCGCAAGCCUGACCCAGCAAUGCCGCGUGAAGGAAGAAGGCCCUCGGGUUGUAAACUUCUUUUAUCAGGGACGAAGGAUGUGACGGUACCUGAUGACUAAGCUCCGGCUAACUACGGGCCAGCAGCCGCGGUAAUACGUAGGGAGCCAGCGUUAUCCGGAUGUACUGGGUGUAAAGGGAGCGUAGGCGGGAUGUCAAGUCAGAUGUGAAAUCCAGGGGCUCAACCCCUGAACUGCAUUUGAAACUGUCGUUCUUGAGUACUGGAGAUGUGUACGGAAUUCCUAGGGUAGCGGGGAAAUGCGUAGAUAUUAGGAGGAACCCCAGUGGCGAAGGCGGUCAACUGGACAGCAACUGACGCUGAGGCGCGAAAGCGUGGGGAGCAAACAGGAUUAGAUACCCUAGUAGUC